rnacentral:rRNA from 1 species
GACGAACGCUGGCGGCGUGCUUAACACAUGCAAGUCGAACGCAGUGGCGAACGGGUGAGUAAUACGUGGGUAACCUGCCCUCCUUUUUGGGAUAAGCCUUGGAAACGAGGUCUAAUACCGAAUCAAGGGGGAUGGGCUCGCGGCCUGUCAGCUUGUUGGUGGGGUGAUGGCCUACCAAGGCGGUGACGGGUAGCCGGGCUGAGAGGGUGAACGGGAACAGUGGGACGGAGAUACGGCCCAGAGGAGGAAGGGGGGAAGAAGUGGGGGAUAUUGAAGAAUGGGUGAAAGACCGAUGCAGCGAGGCCGAGGGGGGGAUGAGGGCUUUCGGAUUGUAAAGCUAGUGAGGUAUAGAACGGGUAGGUGGAGAGGAAGCGCCGGCUAACUACGUGCCAGCAGCCGCGGUAAUAC